AUGCUUCAUAGCAUCUUUUUUUUGGGGGAAAUUAACAAGCCAAGGAUUUCUCCUAGAGAGAUUUUUGGUAAUUAUACUGGACUGUUUAAUUACGUACAGACAGUCUAUCCGCAGCCUUUCAUACUUUAUUCCUCUAGUCUACCAAGACGGAGUCCAUUUUCAUGUGUGCUGGACAUGGUUGUUCAUCUGGAAGGUCAAGAAAAUGAGGAAGCUAUUAGAAAAACCCUGCAGGAACUCAUCAAACCUUUGGUGAGAGAAACUCGCAAACCAAGGUUGAGUUCCACCACAAUCUGCAUCUCUGCUGGCAACACAGAUUCAGUGAGACACUAUGGAGUAUCCAUGUCCACCACUGGUCAUCCUGCAGGCCGAAUUGUGAUUGCUGCAUCCUGCCUUAACUUCUGGGAGGAACAUGUAGCUGAUGCAGUGAUGAGCUACCAUCCUGAAAAAAGUAGGAAGACAUACUUUGAUGCAACCAUCAAACUUCCUGCAGGUGUCAGAUGUGAAGCCUUUGACCUUAUAAAAGUAACAGAAGAAUCUGACCUUAUAGACGGAACAGUAAAAAGUCCCUGCCGUUUUUGUAGUGAGAUGUUUGGCUUGAGACAGCCUGCAGAUGCACAGGAGCCACGUUGGAAUUAUGGCAACUGCGCUGAAGCUGAAAGUUUGAGCAACUUGCUUAGAGAGAAAGAAGUUAGAGAGCGAGUCCAAAGAAAUGGAAAGUGGACAGAAAAAAACCAGGAAAGGGUUAGACGUGCUGUUAGGGAUCAGCUUCGAAGAUACCUGGAGAGGGUUCACUUUGCAUGGGACAACCAGUUCUACACUGCACAAAGAGCAGCAGCUUAAGAUACUCUGUGAAUUGAAUGCUGCUACAUGUAAAAGAUGAAGAGCAGAUAUUAACAAUGACUCAACUGUAAAGUCGCAAACAUCUGAGAAAUGUCAACAGUUGGGAAUGGGAAAUCAUUUUAAAUCUUUUCUGCAAAAUUGUAAAGCAUAAAUUUUAUUUGGAAAACAAUUAUUGUGGUUAAAAGUGUCAUUUAUUGUGCAUUCCAGGCUGUUGGAAUAAUUUUAAGGCUUAUUAUCAUUUAUUUGUUUUACAUGGUCUUAUAUUAUCAUCUUUUUAUUUACAUUUUAAUGGUGCGCUUUAAGAGUUUUGAAGUGUUUGCAGAAAAGGAAGCUGUGAGAAGCAGCCUGCUGAGGAGUGAAAAGGAGAGUACCAUGAAUGAGACGUUCUGGAGCUCUUUAUCCAGAUGAACUGCAAACUGAUUUUCUUAUCUUAUGAAAUAUGCUUUUGAAGGUUGUAUAGUUAAGUUCUGUGCAUUUGAGUGUGCAGCUGUGCUUUACUCCCCAUACCUUUAGAGCUGCACGCUGUGAUGUAACAAGGGCGUUCCUAAUUAUAAUAAAAGCAGGAAGGGGGCUCAGUUGAAGCUUCAGAACAUAGGCCAAAAUCUGUCACUGGGUUUUGACUGUGUCCUCCCUGCAGGUAAAACUGAAUUCUGACUCUUGUUCUCUUCUUUGGGUCUGUUUUCAGGUAUUGAAACCUAACACAUACUUAGCCUCUCAUUAUGGCAAAUCAGUUGAAACGGCCAUGUCUCUCUGAGCCACAUUUAUCUUUUUGCUUUGUGGUUCUUCACUGCAUAAUCAAGAUGUGUCUCUGCACUGUUACUUAUAUUUUGUACACUGUGUCUCUAGUUAUCUUUUCAUGUAUUUCCUUUGAUUUAUUCUGUCCUAAAGCACUUUGGAACAAUGUUAUUGUAGGAAGAACUUUGUUGGUUAGUAAUAACUAUUUGUGGCAAAGUCAUGCAUAUUUAUGAAAAUCCAAUAAAAGCUUUACGAUUCAGGUCUUUGGUCUCAUAAUCAAUGCUGCAGCUAAACUGAAGUUUUCAGUUCAUCAUGUAUGGAGUGAAAAUAGUCUAAAAAUACAUGUGCGUGUGUGUAAAAAUAUCUGCGCCUGCGAAAUACUGGAUUUGUAACUCAUCUUUGUGUUAGUUGUAUCUGUGAAACAUGAUUUGUAAACCGUGAAAAAAAAUUUAUGCAGAACUCCAGGUUUUUGUAAAUAUGUGGUCACAAAUAUGAAGAAAUUAUGAAUACAAAAUAAAAGUACACACACAAUUACAAUUUCUACAAAAGUUCAAUUUCUACACACAAACGUUUUAACUACAACCUCACAAACCUUCUCCUACGCCUACAAAUGUUAAAUAAGUACGCACAAUUCACCUGGUACACACAAAACUGCAUUUACGGAAAACGAAGAGGGAACAUUGGAAAAUAAGAUAAUUUAAAAAAGAACAGGCAGAAAUGUCUAAGUCAAAAGGCAGCUUCUUGGUUUUUUUCCUAAGACAUCGGUCCCCUCCCCGUAACAUAUUAAUUCACUUGUUUCACAUUUACAGGCUGCUGAACAGGAACGGAUGUAAGUCAGUUUAUAGAAAUACAAAAGCUGACCCCUGAUUUUUAAUUUUGCUUAAUUGUGUUCUUCUUCUUCUUAUUAGUAUUAUUAAUGUAGACAGCAAUAUCUGGAGGACAGAGUCGUUUUCAAAAGAAAUGUUUUCCUGUUCAUUAAGGAAAUGGUAAUAGCUUCACUCACUCAAGAAGACACGACAGAACUAGUGGAUGAGGUGUGUCUGAUUGUGGUUUGACGCUUCACACACAUUCACUUAAUGUUUCUCAUGCAUGUAGAACAUAAACUUUUUUAUGUUUUUCUUUUUCCACUCUCUAGAUUUUUCACAGCAUCUUCUUUUUGGGGGAAAUUUACGUUCCACAGAUUUCUCCCGGAGAGAUUUUUGCUAAUGAUGCUGCCCUGCUUCAUCGCUUAAAGAAAGUCUAUCCGGGGCCUUUCAGACUUUAUUCCUCUAGUCUACCAAGACGGAGUCCAUUUUCAUGUGUGCUGGACAUGGUUGUUCAUCUGGAAGGUCAAGAAAAUGAGGAAGCUAUUAGAGAUACCCUGCGGAAACUCGUCACAGAGUUGAUGAUAGAUGCUUCUUCCAACACGAUAUUGUUUUCCUCCACAAUGUGCAUCUCUGCUGCUAACAGCAGAGAUGCAGUGAAACACUACGGAGUCUCCAUGUCCAGCAAAAGUGGUUUCGCAAGCCGAAUCAUGGUUGCUGCAUCCUGCCUUAGCUUCUGGGAGGAACCUGUAGUUGAUGCAGUGAUGAGCUACUAUCUUAAAAAUGAAAAGAGGACAGACUUUAAAGUAACCAUCAAACUUCCUACAGGUGUCAGGUGUGACGCCUUUAAACUAACAAGCGAAAAUACAAUCAUUCCCUGCUUGUCUUGUAACAAAAUGUUUGGCUUGGCUACAACUGACGACCAUAAUUAUCCUCAUGGCAACUGCGCUGAAGCUGAAAGUUUGAGCAACUUGCUUAGAGAGAAUGAAGUUAGAGUACAAAGAAAUGGAAACUGGACAGAAAUAAACAAGAAAAGGCUUAGAUGUGAAGUUAGGUAUAAGCUUACAACAGAACUGAGGAACCUUCAAUUUGGAUGGGACGACGAGUUCUACGUUCCACAAAGAGCUUCAUCUGCUGAGGUGCUGCUUUUACAAGAUGAAGAGCAGAUAUUAACAAUGACUCAACUGUAAAGUCACAAACAUCUGAGAGAUUUCAAUAGUUGGGAAUGGGAAAUCAUUUUUAAUCUUUUCUGCAAAAUGCAAAGCAUAACAUUUUUUGGGGAAAAAUAUUAUUCAGGUUAAAAAUUUAAUUCAUUGUGCAUUCCUUGCUUAGCCUCUCAUUAUGGCAAAUCAGUUGAAACGGCCAUGUCUCUCUGAGCCACAUUUAUCUUUUUGCUUUAUGGUUCUUCACUGCAUAAUCAAGAUGUGUCUCUGCACUGUUACUUAUAUUUUGUACACUGUGUCUCUAGUUAUCUUUUCAUGUAUUUUCUUUGAUUUAUUCUGUCCUAAAGCACCUUGGAACAAUGUUAUUGUAGGAAGAACUUUGUUGGUUACUAUUUACGUAGCAAAGUCAUGCAUGUUUAUUAAAAAUCCAAGAAAAGCUUUACAAUUCAGUUUUUUGGUCUCAUAAUCAAUGCUAAAGUGACUCCAUGGUCUGUAUGGAGUGACAAUAGUCUCAAAAUACCUCUGUGUGUGUGUACAAAUAACUUUGGAGAGUUGUAUCUGUGAAACAUGAUUUGUAAACCAUGAAAAGAAAAUUUGUGCGGAACUCUGGGUUUUUGUAAAUAUGUGGUCACAAAUAUGAAGAAAUUACGAAUACAAAAUAAAAGUACACACACACAAUGACUGUUAUGGUUUGAGUCUUCUGUGUGUUUAUUUUUGAGUUUCAGUCUUCGUGUUGUCCUGUCUCCUUGAUUGUUCCCAGAUGUGUCUUGUUCCCUGAUUACCUCUUGUGUCUCUGAGUCUUUGUCGGGUCCAUGUCGCGUUCGUCCAGUUUACCUGUUACUUUUGAGCAUUUGCCUCUGCUCCUUUGUGCUGCCUGGACUUUGGGUUUGGGAUUUUCUGGAUUAUUUUCAUAAUUAAAAUCAUCCUCCCUGGGUCUCAGCGUCUGCCUCACCACUCUCACACCGCUACAUAUGACAAUUACAAUUUCUACAACAGUUAAAUUUCUACACUCAAACUUUUUAAGUACAACCUCACAAACCUUCUCCUACACCUACAAAUGUUAAAUAAGUACACACAAUUCGCCUGGUACACACACAAAACUGCAUUUACGGAAAACGAAGAGGGAACAUUGGAAAAUAAGGAAAUUUUAAAAAGAACAGGCAGAAAUGUCUAAGUCAAAAGGGAGCUUCUUAGUUUUUUUCCCUAAGACAGCGGUCCCCUCCAUUGGGUGGUGAUGUUCCCUCUUCGGAAAACGAAGAGGGAACAUUGGAAAAUAAGGAAAUUUAAAAAAGAACAGGCAGAAAUGUCUAAGUCAAAAGGGAGCUUCUUGGUUUUUUUUCCUAAGACAGCGGUCCCCUCCAUUGGGUGGUGAUGGCCGUAGUCUUUGUGACUUGGCUGUUACCACUAACGCUGAAACGAUUCCCCAAAUAAUUCGUGUUCUCGAAGCUCAUUAAUUUAUGUUUUAUUAUUUAGCGUACCAUGUUCCGGGUUAGGGUUACAUUACUUGCGUUGUGCGGAGCUCUGACUUCUGCCUCUGAGUUGUUGACGAAAGCUAAGUGUUAGCGGCAUAACGUCCAAUUUUCAAGUUCAGCCUGUGGGGAUUUUAUUGAUUGAUAAAAAUCAAUAAAACCCGGAUAACGCCCUGAUUUUCAUAGUUUUUGGUGGCCCAAUAAACAUUCUUAAAAUGACUGGCGAGAUGCCUGGAGUACGGCAGCCUUUCUCCUCCGGGAGCUGCUGGGUGGGAAGAGCGAGCGCUGUGGGAGUAUUUAUACAGGUGAGCGGAUAGACUGAACAUGGCGGACGGCUGAGUAGUUGAUGGUUAAAGUGUAAGUGUAGCUUUACAGACGAAGCGCACAAUAAAUUUUAUAUCAUCUUGGUCUCAACAAACGGGUGGCGAAGCGCAUCGUGGCAGUACAUGGCUGGUAGAUGAGUUUCUGAGUGUGAUGAACGAAGUUAUCGUAACUAAGCUUCCCAUAUUGCUCCCCCUGUUAUUACUUUCGUCACCUGGUCUACCGGUCGUACAUUAGGUUUGUUCGUUUGUCUUCCCCCCUCUAAAGUAACUGUUUGAGAUGCUUAAAACUGAAAAAUUGGACUGAUAUUGAUAUCCAGUGUUAUGCCAAAUUUACCAGUAUUUUAUUUAAUUUUUUUUCAAUUAAUCGUAAGAAUAAGCAUUAGAUUACUCUAUUACUAAAAUAUUUGUUUACAACAUUCCUAGUUACCACUGAUUUAGAGGUUCAUUAAGCUUUGUCCCUGGUUGUGUCAUGAAUUGGUGGUGAGGGAAACGCAGCAGAUCCAAAUGAGAUGAAAUGAUGGUAUUUAAUUAUGAACAGUCCAAAAGGCCAGGCAGCACUGCUGAGCAGAAGACCAGGGCUCAACACAGGUAGCAACUGGCUACAGGAAUGGACAAGAACGCAUUGACAAGGACCUGACAGAGACACAGGUGACAUUAAAUACACAGGAGGUAAUCAGGGAAUGAGAAACACCUGGGAGCAAUCAAGGGGAACACAGGACAACAUGAGACUCAUUUUACAGAAUGAACUGUCUUCUUCUUCUUCUUUUCUAUUCGGAUCACAAGCAACUUUAAGGUGCAUACCGCCACCUACUGUACAAGAGUGUGUAGCUGCAUUACUUCACAUCUAUUAAAUUCUACUUUUUAAUUUUGUAUUCUUAAGAUAAAUAAACAAUGCUUUCCUUAAUUUGUGAAUAUCUGUUAUGUUUCCUUCAUUUCCUAAUAUACCUUUAAGAUUCCAUUCAUGCCCUAUACUUCUAACU